rnacentral:lncRNA from 1 species
AUGCUGCCAACUGUCUUAGAAAAUGCCAGAGAGCAUCUGAGGUGCUCCCUGGGCAAGCAGCCUGAGUCCUCCAGAAGGAGGGUCUCCUGGGGUCGAGAAGCAGGGGCACAACUGCCGGUAGUGGCCCACCCUCAGGUGGCACAGGUGGAUACGAGGUCAAAUGGAGCCUCACCAAAGGCUGGCUGGCCUGCAGAUGGCCACUUGUUCCCCUCAGGAACCCCUGUGUCCAGUGCCCCAGCCUGGCACCAGCAUGUCUCCUGCACCCUGACGUCACAGCUGCACAGCACAGCCCCUCUGCUAGCCUCGAGGCUGCUGUCCCACUUUCUCAGCAAAGCAGUCACUGAGCACAGGUGCCAGCAGGGGCAUUUGAGAGCAGCCGGCUCCUGUGUUGAAGGAAGCGGUGUGUGUGCUGCUAGUGGGAGCCACAGUCUGCAGUCGCUCUCUGAGCCUGAGCGGGACCCCUUAGCACUCAGCCUCCGAUGCCUGACUCACCUGGGAGAUGACCUCUCGCUCCUGGCCUCAUCCCCUCCAGGGGGCCAGCCCUUCUCCCUUUUCCUCCAGCCACACCUGCAGCCUCUGCCCCCUUGGGUCCAAGUCACCGGCCCACCUGCGGUGCUGUGCACACUUGCCACUGGUGCGAUGUCCACUUCGCCCAGCACCGAGCCCCUCGCAGCCGGGCCUCACAGUGACCCUUUGGGCCCUCACGCUGGCCACCCGCACAGCGUCUGCUGCUUACCUCGGCCCUGGAAGCCAGAGGUGUCCCCUGCCUCCUCCAGCACCUGGCACUCACGUCUGCUCACGCAGUGGUCACUGCACCAGGGCGUGGGUUUCCCUUCGACCCUAGCAAGGAGCAGUACCUACCCAGCCACCACGGGGUCCUCGGGGUCCUCGGUGCUCUCCCUGCCUGCCCAGACCGACCACCGACCACCGACCACCGACCGGCGCUGGGGGCUGCAGUGGGCAUGUGCUCCUGGAGCAGGCUCCCUCCUCCUUGCCAGCCCUGCCUCUCCCUCCCCACGCCCCACCCCC